CCUGGGAUGGCACUGGGCCCAUCAGCUUUGGGCCCAACCCUUUGCUCUUGAAGCAGAGCAGGGCACAUCCUAAGAGAUGGCCGGUGGUGAUGGGAAAUGCUGUUGGUCACGAGGCAUUGUUAUUUGGUUGACAUGCUUGUGUAUUGACUUUUCUAGAGAGGAACAUAAAAAGCAUUCGUCUGGGUGUGCAUUCCUUUCUGUCAAGAAGAAGCUUGAAGAAUUAACCCUUGGUGAAUUUUUGAAACUGGACAAAGAAAGAGCCAAGAACAAAAUUGUAUGUAUUGUUGGGAAAAGAACUAAGAGCAAAC
rnacentral:lncRNA from 1 species